UACAGGGGGGGCAAGCGUUGUUCGGAAUUACUGGGCGUAAAGGGCUCGUAGGUGGCCAACUAAGUCAGACGUGAAAUCCCUCAGCUUAACUGGGGAACUGCGUCUGAUACUGGAUGGCUUGAGUUUGGGAGAGGGAUGCGGAAUUCCAGGUGUAGCGGUGAAAUGCGUAGAUAUCUGGAGGAACACCGAAGGCGAAAGCAGGCGACUGGACCGUUAUUGACGCUGAGUCACGAAAGCCGGGGGAGCAAACAGG
rnacentral:rRNA from 1 species